rnacentral:lncRNA from 1 species
CGCGGCACGGCACUGCCGAACGACCGCGCACAGCGCACCGCAGCGAGGGCCCGGGACCGUGCGGGCCGCGGAGGACAGAGCAGCCGUGAGGAGAGGCAGCGGGGCCGGCUGAUGGAGCUUUUAAUUGGGGGCGGGAGGGGGGGGGAGUGGGAGGGAAAGGAAAGGAAGGUCCUCUGGAAAUAUCUUCCGGGAUUAGAACGAGGAGCGCUGGACUCCCAUCUCGAUGCGGCCCUGUAGGAAAGCGCUGCGGGGACCGCGAAAAAGCUGCUCGGAAGGACCCACGGGGCUGAAAACGGGGAUUGGAAAAGAAAAAAAAAAAAAAAGUAGAUGGUGUGUGUGACAAAAAAAGCUGGGUGAUUCUGUUUUCUCAUGCCCUCGCUCCUCCACCAGCUGCACAGCCAAGCGCAGGCUGCUUGGCCCUUAUAACUAUCUUGGCACGGAGUCAAAAGCUGAUAAGCAUUUGGGCGAGACAGCUCAACUGCUGUGCUGGAAGAAAAACAGCUGCCAUGAUUUCUGUUUGAUUGAGAGCGCUUACACACACGCACAAAAAACACAUCGGGCUGCAGAGACGGGCCACGAAUGCCUGAGGAUUCAGCUUCAGAAGAGCAAUGCACGUUUCCUUAAGGGAAAGAAAAAAAAAAAAAAGUUUUAUGCAGUUUUGCCUCCGUUCCUCCUCCCCUUUUUAAGGAAAAUGUACUGCGUAGACUCGCUCCUCUCCUUCCCAUCCCCCUCCAUAACCUCAAGCAAACUCGAGGAAUUGUGCCAAAAGUCCCGUUGCUAGUUACUGAGUGCGUUUUUUUCAAACGUCCCUUUGAUACUUCUUCCCCUUGUGCUUGCCAUGGAAUAUGCAACUCUGUAAGAAUGUCACACAAGAGGCAGCGCUAUCCCAGCUGGAUAAUUCAUGAGCCGAAAGCAGAGAACGCCAUUUUGAGGCUGUCACACAUUUCUGUGUCCAAAGUGGAUAACACCUGCGGAAAGCAUAAGAAUGAUAUUCUCAUGCUGCAGAAAAAGUAGGAAGAGAGGGAAAGAGACUAUCAUCAGGAAAACUGAAAGGAAGAUGCCUCUGUAGCAUGCACAUGCCGCCAGGAAGCAUGAGGUUUAGCCCAGAGGGCUCACAAAAUAAAAGAAACUUCCAGACUACGUGUUGGCAUCAAGAUGAGUGACAUGCCCACUGCAGGUAGGUGAAUGACUGGCACUCAGGACAACUCCCUGCAUUUCUCACCUCUCCACUUCUUUGUCUAGAAUGUAUGAAACUAAUCACACAGUUUCCAGUGACUGCUAUUCCUCAAAAUCUAGAAGAAAAAUAUUGGGCUUUUUAAUGCACCAAGGGUCAAAGAAAGAACACUGGAGUUGGAAAGUACUGACAGACAACUAAGUUUAAAAAAGUCAAUGUCCUUAGCAAAACAAGCUCUUAGGGAAAGAAAAAAAAAAAAAUCUACAACAGGUAUUUAAAAUAACCUACUGGGAAAUCCAGUAACACAUUGUCUCGUUGCAUGUUUAUCAGAUCUUCCCAUUGACUUAAAUGGGAACACUCUGCUUUUAUGCAUGAAAGAUUAUGCAGGCAUAGAGUAUCGGUUCAAAAUAAAGGGAAACAAUCUCUAAACACAGAAGAAGUACGUGGACAAGGGCAAACUGGGUACUGAGAAAAACUUUACAUAUGUCAAGGCAAAGAGGUACCUUUUUUCAAAAACAAAAAGCACUGAACUGAAAUUAAUAGAACUAAGAAUGUACUUACAAAGUAGUAUUUAAAACUGGGAUUAGAAGCAUAAGGACUGAACCAAGGAAUCAAAGACAUAAAGACAAUUUAUUGACAUACAGUAAAAGCAAGAAGACUGCACAACAGUUGUCUGGUAGGUUUGAAAUAGUAUUGGGGGAAAAAAAGGAGUGAAUAAAGAGGAAGAAAAACUGCAACAAAGAUAAUGGCUGAUUAUGACCUUGAGGUCUUUAGUCAUGCAAAAGAGUGAACUCAACUUUUCAUAUAUAUGGCCACGUUAACAUUUCUUGAUAGCUGGGUUCCUGAUGAGAGCUAUAUUAAGAAAAAAACAAACAAAAAUCUCUACAACCACUAACCCUCCUGAAGAAAUGCAAGACUAUACACCUCCUUCAGCCUGCAUGUCCUUCAUUCUCCAGUUCUUUUUCUUUCACUCCAGCCAAUGUAUGUAAAUCCAAAAUGGGAAGUAAAACCACCCUACAAGAAGUUAUGGAAUAAGACGUUUCUUCUCUUGGAACAGGAAAACAGCUGGAGGAAAUGUCACUCUGUGACACAAAGUUCUUGCACAGAUCAAUUUUUUUCUGGGUGGAACAAUACUGACCACUCCUCUCAAUGUCCAGAAAUCCAAACAGACUGAGAGGCAGCCUUUAUCUUAAAAAGAACAACUUCUUUUUAGGCCUAGAGCAGGUGGAAACCAUUGAAAAAGGUUUGUACUAACAAAGUGAUUAAAUUGUAUUUUCUGAACCCGGCAGAUUACAUCUCGUUAAUCUCUUCUUCUGCAAGUAAAGGGCAAGAGAGCAGCAGAUAAGAAAACAGAAAGUGCAGAAAUAACUGGAGAAACUAAAAGACAAGACAGGCUGCUCAAGAUUAAAAUCAGCGUUUCCAACCAAAAGAAAAUGCAUUCUUCUAUCUGGAAUGAAAGAGUGGUACUCCUUAAAUAGCCACAGAAAUAGUCCACAUUACAUGCCAAUGAAUUCUAGCAUUUAAUAAAAUGGUUGGAAGGCUACUUGAAAAUAUGUUAACCUGAAUGUCUAAGAAGAGGUUACAGAAUGGGGAGAAAAACAAUACAGCUAACGUAAUGAAAAAUACAUCUUUUUAUAUUGGAGUGGAUCUGCAGGUGAAAUUAUUAUUUACUUGGCCAUUCAAAAGGGCUUUGAUAGUGACUCAAAGAUCAUAAAGAAAACAGAGCAAUUGUGACCAAAAUUUAGGCUCAUGAUUAAAAACGAGCUAAGUAGCCCAAAGCAAAAUGUAGGGAUAAAAAAGGCACUUAAGAAGAAAAAGAUUAACAGUAAUUGUAUGCAGAAGUUACACUUGCAUCAGCUUUUAACAUUAUUUAGUAGUCUGGGAAAAAUUAAUUGUAAAACAAAGUGGCAAAAUUGACACUUGGAGUGUAUUUGGAUUACUGAAGAAAUUUAACAAAGUUAAACGAGUAUGAAACAACAUGAUAAAUACUUAUUGGUAAUUAUUAAGUAAGUUGCAUAGCAACAUUCUCAGCAAAGGAAAAAGAUCGGGGUGCCAUCACAACAAUUCAACAGUACUGUCAAAAAAAAAGACAAUUUUAACAGCACAUGCAAAAAAGCACAGAAACUAUGCUUCCAGUGGGUACCUGACUGGGAAAUACCUUCAAGAAGAAUGCUGUCUACAGUUCUUUUUACCUUACCUCAUUAAAACCACAGAACAUGAGUGUAAGGGCAGGUGACCAAAACGAUCUGGCUCUCGAGACGAUUGCCAUGUAACAUGACAAAGUGAUGAUGUUAUCAAGCACAUGAGCAACAGGGGACACGACAGAGAUGCACACUUUGAAAGUCAGAACUGUACUUUUUUACGUAUAGUGUUCAACAGGAGAGCACGCAGUAAAAUUAAAUGAGCAGCAUUAAAACUCUGGAAAUAUAUUACCUUACUAAGUGUAGGUAAGCAUGUGAAAAUCAGUGCCACAGUUCUUCAUUAAGGGACAUCAGUGAGACUUUGAAAGAAUACUGUUCUAUGCACAGCCUAUAGAAAUGUAACAUUAAAUAGGAUCGUUUGCUGGAAAUACCCUUGCACAAACCUGUAACAAAGCCAUUGGCCAAGGUAUCUGGCUGGACUAUUUUCUGACAAGGACAGGGUAUUCCAGAAGGAUCAAAUGCUGGUUGUUUUUGCCCUGCAUUUUCUUACCAACCAACCCUUUGUAAGAACGGUCUGGGUAGACUUAGCAUUAGACUGCAGAUCUAAUCCAGUGCAGUAAUUUCUACAUUUAAAUGUUUGCUAUGGUCAAAAACAAUGAUCCCCAAAACCUCUUCCCACCCCUACUACAAUGUGGUAAGAAUGAAAUAAUUUAUCCUCCAAGUUAGCUGCUGUGCCUGAUGCAAUGCUACCAAUGCAUUUCUCAAACUUCACAAAAAUACUUGGAAGCACGUAUUUUUUGCUACCUGCUUUUCCUCUCACCUUAAAUAAUUAGGAAGAACUUACAAGAUUCUGCUUCACAAUACAAAUGCGUUUCCUUAUUUUAUUAUCUUUUUUCCCCAUCCACACAUCGUUAUUUGUAAAACUCAUUUAAUAAUUCUGAGAGAUUCCAAGAUGUGUGUCAGAUGCUGGGAUAUUGCCACUUGUGUGGUGGUUUGCUACACUUACCCUUCAGUCUUGUGGCUAACAAUUCACCCAAAAUGUGAUAAUACCUCACCACAACCCACACGCUGCUGCUCUUCAAAGGAGAACAAGGAUACAUAAUUAUGAGAUGAUGAGCUCAAAUGUAAGACAGGAGAUGAGGGAACAGAUUCUGUAACCACACCUAUGAGUGGUUAAACUACUGAAGAAGUUUCUGCAGCUCCACUUUCACUCACAGCAUCAACAAAAGCCACGCAUUUUCAAAAUACUUAAAUAACAUUUGCUACAGGGGAGGAAUAAACACAGUGAUAAUACGUUGUCCCUGCAGAAGAAAAGAGGUUUAACAUCUAUUAAGAAUGUAAAUAAGUAUUAUCAACAAAUAGACCUUAUAGUCAGUGUAAGCAAGAUAUGCACACUUUUACUAGAAACACUGUCAAGAUCUCACUCCUCAAGAAUUUUUACUUUAAAAUAUUCUAAGUCUCAUUCCAACCUUUUGUGAUCAUGUAGUUUCACUCGUAACAGAAGGAACUGCAGAAGAAAAUAUCUAAGUGUAUCCAUGUCGAUGCAGGGGCUAACAGUGAAGCAUUCUGCACAGAAAUUAAGAACUGGUUACAGAUAGACUUUAGAGUCUACAAGAUCAGUCCCGUGGUGGAUAUUCUCAAUAAAGAAAACAUCAAAGCACUAUCCUUACUAGACUAAAAAUGUUGCAACUAGUUUUUGUGGGUUUUGUCAUAAUUAGUGAGUCAAGAAAUCUGGGGCAAAGCAAGACGCAAUUAAAGAUGCCAUCAAACUCAACAACUGUGAGAACUGACCAUCCUUUCAAAAUAUGCAUUAAUAUGAGAUUAAUGAGUAAGGAUUUAAAAAUAACAGGAUUACAUGCCUACUUGAUUUCUCAUUAUUAAAAAAUAAAAAUAAAAAAUCUCUUUUACCUAGGAGAAGUCUUCCUUCUGUGGGGUUGAAGGAUCACAACCCUAAAGCCAGUCCCUGCAUGCACAGCCAGCUUCUCUAAGCAGCAGCCACACCCUCCUCUUCCUCAUUUUUUUCCACUGACCAUGAAAUGCGUUCUAAGCCAGGCACUGAAAAAAAAAGAAAAAAUAGGAAAAAGAUCAUAAGUACAUUUUUAAUGGACACCAGAUACCACAUGGCUGAUUUAAUUAAGCAGAUUAGAAACAAAUAAGUAUAUUUAUACAAAUAUAUUUUGAUUUUCUGUUUCAUUUCAAACAAAUUUGGUAGGCCUGAUUUGGCUCUAUUCAAAUCACAAGAAACGUCAUUAAGAACGUUCUGUGCUGACAGUAGAAUCAAGCCCUCUUCUCUUUUUAGAAUGUCAUAUUUUACCUAUUCCACUGCUACUGUAAAAACAACAAAUGAGAGGGUUUUCAGAAUAUCCUGGAAUAAGCCUACGGACUUCGUAAUAGAAACUAAAACAGGACAAGCUUUGACAGAUGUUCCAGAGGUACUCUCUUCAAUGAAUUGGAUUACUGUAUCUUCAACAGAAUAAUACUGCAUUAUCACUCAACAUGUACUUACUGUUGUUAUAUUUUACACAAUUUACAUCAUCAAUAAUUUCACAGUACAUAGAACAUUAUAGAAAUCGACUGUUGUUAUAAACAGUUUUGCACACUGUAUCACCUGCUGACUUUAAUUCAUUAUUUAAACGACACUAAUUACACUACAUUUCAUAUUCUAUGGCUAAAUAGAAUAUUGAAUAGAAAUACAGAGUGAUAAGAACACUUUUUUCCAGUACCUCAAAAAAACAAACAAAAAACAACCCAGAACAACAGCCACCACUCUCCCCCUGAAAAGAAAAGUAAGGAAAAAGAAAAGAAAAGGAAAAAGAAACCCAGCAACACCCUUCUUUACAAGUUACUAGUUAUGGGAUUCAACAAUAAAGCAAAAAUACAUAUGUAGGGGUAAGCAACUUAAUCUCAAUUUUUGCAACAACUGCACAAAGGUACUACUGUUCAGCUCUCAUAAGGGCAGGGAAAUUACCAUUAAAGUUUUUGUUUGUUUUGUUUUUAAUUUAGAGCUAAAUAAUGUGACAGAAAUCUGCAGCUCAAUGCUAUUAUGUUUCUUGAAAGAACAAAUUGAUAUUAAAAUAAAAAUGUUAAGGUUAUAUUAAGAUGAAUGCCUGAGGACGACAACAUUUUUGGUAUUACAGUUAUUAUAUAAUAGCAAGUCCAAAAUAAUUUAUAAUCCCACCACUUAACUUCUUAUUUAUUCAUUUAUGACUCCAUCAUCACAGAAGAAUACUCUUACGAACAUACUGUGCACUUUCAGUAUUAGAAGGGCUGUUCACAAAGGCAUUUUGCAUGCUCCUGCAUCCUAAUAGGCUGCCAAUAUACAGCUUCGUAAAUCUCAAAGCCUGCACAACACAAGGUUAGAUACAGUACACUGGCUGUAUAUACAUUUGCACAUACAGUAAAAUACAACUAACUUGCAGAAUCAUAUCAACACUGCUGUGUUUAUAGACACGUUCAUUCAUGCAGAAAUCUUUCUCCUGCAUACUGCAGAGUAUUAGGCAAUAUGUGUACCUCUCACCAUAACGGAACACUCUGGUACACAACACUGACUUU